CCUACGGGGGGCUGCAGUGGGGAAUAUUGGACAAUGGGGGGAACCCUGAUCCAGCCAUGCCGCGUGUGUGAAGAAGGCCCUCGGGUUGUAAAGCACUUUCAGUGAGGAAGAACGCCUGGUGGUUAAUACCCAUCAGGAAAGACAUCACUCACAGAAGAAGCACCGGCUAACUCCGUGCCAGCAGCCGCGGUAAUACGGAGGGUGCGAGCGUUAAUCGGAAUUACUGGGCGUAAAGCGCGUGUAGGUGGCUUGAUAAGCCGGUUGUGAAAGCCCCGGGCUCAACCUGGGAACGGCAUCCGGAACUGUCAAGCUAGAGUGCAGGAGAGGAAGGUAGAAUUCCCGGUGUAGCGGUGAAAUGCGUAGAGAUCGGGAGGAAUACCAGUGGCGAAGGCGGCCUUCUGGACUGACACUGACACUGAGGUGCGAAAGCGUGGGUAGCAAACAGGAUUAGAUACCCCAGUAGUC
rnacentral:rRNA from 1 species